UUUGUACUCCCUCCGUUCCAAAAUUCUUGUCUUAAAUUUGUCUAAAUACGGAUGUAUCUAGUUACAUUUUAGUGUUAGAUACAUCCGUAUCUAAACAAAUGUAAGACAAGAAUUUUGGGAUGGAGGGAAUACUAC
rnacentral:pre_miRNA from 1 species